GUCACAAGUUCCAUUCUGGGUGACGUCUGAGAUCCUGACUCAGGAUGUAAACUAGGAGGGUCCAGGUCAUGGUGACAGUAACCGAAGUCAAGAAGCAACAGUUAGAACGGGAUAUGGAAAAACAGACUGGUUCCGAAUCGGGAAAGGAGUACAUCAAGGCUGUAUAUUGUCACCCUGAUUAUUUAACUUAUAUGCAGAGUACAUCAUGAGAAAUGCUGGACUGAAUGAAGCACAAGCUGCAAUCAAGAUUGCUGGGAAAAAUAUCAAAACCCUCAGAUAUGCAGAUGACACCAUAACUUUUCUCUCAAGGAGUGGCAAGAUACAGCAAGGAACAGAUAGCCAUGAUGCCCACUCUCCAAGAACUUACAUUCUACUAAAGGAAGAUGAAAUCAGAUGUCACCAGGAGUACAUCAUGAGAAACGCUGGGCUGGAUGAAGCACAAACUGGAAUCAAGAUUGCUGGGAGAAAUAUCAGUAACCUCAGAUGUGUAGAUGACACCACCCUCAUGGC
ensembl:lncRNA